GGAGGAUUGACCCCUUCAGUGCCGCAGUUAACACAAUAAUUAAUCCACAUGGGGAGUACGACCGCAAGGUUGAAACUCAAAGGAAUUGCCGGGGUCCCGCACAAGCAGUGGAGUAUGUGGUUUAAUUAGAAGCAACGUGAAGAACCUUACCAGGUCUUGACAUCCGAUGCAUAGUGCAGAGAUGCAUGAAGUCCUUCGGGACAUCGAGACAGGUGGUGCAUGGUUGUCGUCAGAUAGUGUGGUGAGAUGUUGGGUUAAGUCCCUCAACGAGCGCAACCGUUAUUGCCAGUUACUACGCAAGAGGACUAUAGGUCGAGACUGCCGUUGACAAAACGGAGGAAGGUGGGGAUGUACAGUCAAAUCAUCAUGCCCUUUAUGAUCUGGGCUACACACGUUCUACAAUGGGGUGUAACAAAGAGAAGCAAGACCUCGAGGUGGAGCAAUACUCAAAAUCAACGUGUCAGUUCAGAUUGCAGGGUGCAACUCGCAUGCAUGAAGUCGCGAAUUGCUAGUAAUCGCGGAUCAGCAUGCCGCGGAGAAUACGUUGCCGGGCCUUGUACACACCGCUCGUCACACCAUGAGAGCCGGGGGGACCCGAAGUCGGUAGUCCAACCGCAAGGA
rnacentral:rRNA from 1 species